rnacentral:rRNA from 1 species
UACGUAGGGGGCAAGCGUUGUCCGAGACAUUGGGCGUAAAGCGCGUGUAGGCGGCUGACUAAGUCCGCUCUGAAAGCCCGGGGCUCAACCCCGGGAGGCGGGUGGAUACUGGUCAGCUCGAGUCCGGAAGAGGAGUGUGGAAUUCCUGGUGUAGCGGUGAAAUGCGCAGAUAUCAGGAAGAACACCCGUGGCGAAGGCGGUUCUCUGGGACGGUACUGACGCUGAGACGCGAAAGCGUGGGGAGCGAACAGG